CCAAAACCUCAUACAGUGUAAAGCACUCAGGAAGUGCCAUCUGUAUUCACCACAUCACACAGACUGGUGACCUGUACAUCACCUGCUCCCAGGAGAUCAGGACGAGAAGAACAAAGGAAACAACUUUUGAGUUUUCUCUGCCUUUAGAAAAGAAAAGCUGAUGGUUUGCCAAAAGAAAAUGAACUCCAAACUCUCGGGGUCUGAACUGGGUUCAAGCAUCAGAUCCAGGGAAGCCCAGGGGGUUGCUGUUUAGUCAGGGGCCUCAAAUGUUCUCUGCACAAGCCAGGCAAAACAGGAAAACCAGACCAGCAGAGAGGAGAGAGACCAGCAAUCAGACCCUCCCAGAGACAAUCACUGUUAACACACUGGUGCAGACCUUUCCUAAUUUCUUUUCUAUAGAUAUAUGUUAUACUUUCCCUCU